UGGGGAAUAUUGCACAAUGGGCGAAAGCCUGAUGCAGCAACGCCGCGUGAGGGACGACGGCCUUCGGGUUGUAAACCUCUUUUAGCAAGGAAGAAGCGAAAAGUGACGGUACUUGCAGAAAAAGCGCCGGCUAACUACGUGCCAGCAGCCGCGGUAAUACGUAGGGCGCAAGCGUUAUCCGGAAUUAUUGGGCGUAAAGAGCUCGUAGGCGGUUUGUCGCGUCUGCUGUGAAAAACCCGAGGCUCAAACCUCGGGCCUGCAGUGGGUACGGGCAGACUAGAGUGCGGUAGGGGAGAUUGGAACUCCUGGUGUAGCGGUGGAAUGCGCAGAUAUCAGGAAGAACACCGAUGGCGAAGGCAGAUCUCUGGGCCGUAAACUGACGCUGAGGAGCGAAAAGGGUGGGGAGCAAAACAGGCUUAGAUACCCUGGUAGUCCACCCCGUAAAACGUUGGGAACUAAGUUGUGGGGUCCAUUCCACGGAUUCCGUGACGCAGCUAAACG
rnacentral:rRNA from 1 species